UACGAAGGGGGCUAGCGUUGCUCGGAAUUACUGGGCGUAAAGCGCACGUAGGCGGCUUUCUAAGUCGGGGGUGAAAUCCUGGAGCUCAACUCCAGAACUGCCUUCGAUACUGGAGAGCUUGAGUCCGGGAGAGGUGAGUGGAACUGCGAGUGUAGAGGUGAAAUUCGUAGAUAUUCGCAAGAACACCAGUGGCGAAGGCGGCUCAGCUGGCCGGUACUGACGUGCC
rnacentral:rRNA from 1 species